CAACUUUCAGCAACGGAUCUCUUGGCUCUCGCAUCGAUGAAGAACGCAGCGAAAUGCGAUAAGUAAUGUGAAUUGCAGAAUUCAGUGAAUCAUCGAAUCUUUGAACGCACCUUGCGCUCCUUGGUAUUCCGAGGAGCAUGCCUGUUUGAGUGUCAUGGA
rnacentral:rRNA from 1 species